rnacentral:miRNA from 2 species
UGCGUUGGUUUAGCUCAGUGGUU